rnacentral:lncRNA from 1 species
UACCCUCCUGCUUAUGUGGUUACCUGUGUCCCAAGAAUCAGCAAUGGUGACUUCGAAGUCAUCAUGAGAUGGAUGGCAGGAUGCAAAAUUGCUCAAACAGCAGUGGAGAAAUGCUCUCUGUACCUUCAGAAUGGGAAGUUUUUGUCGACUAGCUUUCUGUUUGUUUAUUUCAAUAAGUUGAAUCAUGAAAACUAUUCCUAAAAAGAAAAGAAAAAUCAUUAGGACACUUGGAAGCCACUCUCUAAAGCCAUGGGUAUGGCAAUGGAACUUCAAGAACAGGAGCAACCAGAAGGGUCCUUAGAAGCUACAGACACAAUGGCCCACUUAUAUACAAGGUUUUGAAGAGCUCCUGAGAGAAAUGCACGGAAAAGCCAACAGUGGUAGGUACGUGAUGGCAAUAGCUACUGCCUUUAAUCCCAAGAAGGAAGAUCAUAAGAGCACACAGCUUAAGCAUACGAGUAUCUCUAGUUAUCAACAUUAUAUCCCCAUGUAAAAUAUUAUGUGAUACAGAGUCGAAUUGCAUAUUGAAUUCUUUUGAGUAAGGAGGAAGAAAUCUCUUUUGGGAGAUCCAGUAAGACUUUUCUACCACUGCUCUUUGGGAAG